UCCGGCGGUUCUACCGGAGGGGUCACACCCGUUCCCAUCCCGAACACGGCAGUUAAGUCCUCCUGAGCCGAUGGUACUGCGCGGGCAACUGCGUGGGAGAGCAGGUCGCCGCCGGAU
rnacentral:rRNA from 1 species